GAUGAACGCUGGCGGCGUGCUUAACACAUGCAAGUCGAACGGAAAGGCCAGUUCUUGCACUUGUGCUCGAGUGGCGAACGGGUGUGUAACACGUGUGUGAUCUGCCCUGCACUUUGGUAUAAGCCUGGGAAACUGGGUCUAAUACCAGAUAGGACCCUGCUGUGGGGGGUGUGUUGGAAAGUUUUUGCGGUGUGGGAUGAGCUUGCGGCCUAUCAGCUUGUUGGUGGGGUAGUGGCUUACCAAGGCGUCGACGGGUAGCCGGCCUGAGAGGGUGUACGGCCACAUUGGGACUGAGAUACGGCCCAGACUCCUACGGGAGGCAGCAGUGGGGAAUAUUGCACAAUGGGCGGAAGCCUGAUGCAGCGACGCCGCGUGGGGGAUGACGGCCUUCGGGUUGUAAACCGCUUUCGCAAAUGACGAAGCUUUUUGUGACGGUAGUUGGUGAAGAAGCACCGGCUAACUACGUG
rnacentral:rRNA from 1 species